AUACGUAGGAUCCAAGCGUUGUCCGGAAUUACUGGGUGUAAAGGGUGCGUAGGCGGGCUUGUGCGUCAGAGGUUAAAUCCCACAGCUCAACUGUGGAGCUGCCUUUGAUACGGCAAGUCUUGAGUAUGAGAGAGGAUGGUAGAAUUCCUGGUGUAGCGGUGAAAUGCGUAGAUAUCAGGAGGAAUACCAGUGGCGAAGGCGGCCAUCUGGCUCAUUACUGACGCUGAGGCACGAAAGCGUGGGGAGC
rnacentral:rRNA from 1 species